CGCUUUCAACACCGUGACGUCACCUGACGUUACCUGUGCACCGCCGGUGACGUUAUCCGUGCACUGAUGACGUCGGCUGACGUUACCUGUGCACCGCCAGUGAUGUCAGGUGACGUUACCAUUGCACAGGUGGCUUCAGGUGACGUCACCUGAAGCCAGCUGUGCACUGUUGGUGUGUACAGGUAACGUCACUGUUGCGCGGGUGUCACCUGACGUCACCUGUGCGCUGUUGGUGUGUACAGGUAACGUCACCUGACGUCAAUGGUGCACAGGUGAAGUCACCUGGCGCCACCUGUGCAAUGGUCACAUCACCUGACACCACCCGUGCAAUGUUGACGUCACCGGUGCACAGGUGACGUUACCUGUACACGCCAUCAUUGCACAGGUGACAGGUGACGUUACUAUUGCACAGGUGGUGUCAGGUGACGUUACCUGUACACGCCAUCAUUGCACGGGUGACGACAGGUGACGUUACUAUUGCGCAGACCUGUGCACACCACCAUUGGAAAGGUGACGUUGCCAUUGCACAGGUGACGACAGGUGACGUUGCCAUUGCACAGGUGACGACAGGUGACGUUGCCAUUGCACAGGUGACGACAGGUGACGUUACCAUUGCACAGGUGACGACAGGUGACGUUACUAUUGCGCAGACCUGUGCACACCACCAUUGGAAAGGUGACGUUGCCAUUGCACAGGUGACGACAGGUGACGUUGCCAUUGCACAGGUGACGUCAGGUGACAGGUGACGUCACCUGUGCGUUGUUGGUGUGUACAGGUAACGUCACCUGACUUUAUCAUUGCACAGGUGACGUUGCCGUUGCACAGGUGACGACAGGUGACGUUACCAUUGCACAGGUGACGUUACCAUUGCACAGGUGACGACAGGUGACGUUGCCAUUGCACAGGUGACGUCAGGUGACGUUGCCAUUGCACAGGUGGCGUCAGGUGACGUCAUCUGUGCACUGAUGACGUCAGGUGAUGUCACCUGUACACACCAACAGACAGGUGAUGUUACCUGUACACACCAACAGACAGGUGAUGUUACCUGUACACACCAACGGUGCACAGGUGACGACAAGUGACAUUACCUGUGCACCGGUGACGUCAGGUGACAGGUGACGUCACCUGUGCGUUGUUGGUGUGUACAGGUAACGUCACCUGACUUUAUCAUUGCACAGGUGACGUUGCCGUUGCACAGGUGACGACAGGUGACGUUACCAUUGCACAGGUGACGUUACCAUUGCACAGGUGACGUUACCAUUGCACAGGUGACGUUACCAUUGCACAGGUGACGUUACCAUUGCACAGGUGACGUUACCAUUGCACAGGUGACGUUGCCAUUGAACAGGUGGCGUUGCCAUUGCACAGGUGACGACAGGUGACGUUGCCAUUGCACAGGUGGCGUCAGGUGACGUCGCCAUUGCACAGGUGGCGUCAGGUGACGUCAUCUGUGCACUGAUGACGUCAGGUGAUGUCACCUGUACACACCAACAGACAGGUGAUGUUACCUGUACACACCAACGGUGCACAGGUGACAAGUGACAUUACCUGUGCACCGGUGACGUCAGGUGACGUCAGGUGACAGGUGACGUCACCUGUGUGUUGUUGGUGUGUACAGGUAACGUCACCUGACUUUAUCAUUGCACAGGUGACGUUGCCAUUGCACAGGUGACGACAGGUGACGUUGCCAUUGCACAGGUGACGUUGCCAUUGCACAGGUGACGUUGCCAUUGCACAGGUGACGUUGCCAUUGCACAGGUGACGUUGCCUUGCACAGGUGACGUUGCCAUUGCACAGGUGACGUUGCCAUUGCACAGGUGACGUUGCCUUGCACAGGUGACGUUGCCAUUGCACAGGUGACGUUGCCAUUGCACAGGUUGCGUCAGGUGACGUCAUCUGUGCACUGAUGACGUCAGGUGAUGUCACCUGUACACACCAACAGACAGGUGAUGUUACCUGUACACACCAACGGUGCACAGGUGACGACAAGUGACAUUACCUGUGCACCGGUGACGUCAGGUGACAGGUUGUUGGUGUGUACAGGUAACGUCACCUGACUCUAUUGGUGCACAGGUGACAUCACCUGUGCACUGUUGGUGUGUACAGGAAACGUCACCUGACUCUAUUGGUGCACAGGUGACAUCACCUGUGCACUGUUGGUGUGUACAGGUAACGUCACCUGACUCUAUUGGUGCACAGGUGACAUCACCUGUGCACUGUUGGUGUGUACAGGUAACGUCACCUGACUAUUGGUGCACAGGUGACAUCACCUGUGCACUGUUGGUGUGUACAGGUAACGUCACCAGACUCUAUUGGUGCACAGUUGACAUCACCUGUGCACUGUUGGUGUGUACAGGUAACGUCUCCUGACUUUAUCGGUGCACACGUGACGUCACCUGUGCACUGUUGGUGUGUACAGGUAACGUCUCCUGACUUUAUCGGUGCACACGUGACGUCACCUGUGCAUUGUUGGUGUGUAUAGGUAGCGUCACCUGACUUUAUCGGUGCACAGGUGACGUCACCUGUGCGACGGUAACAUCACCUGUUGUCACCUGUGCAAUGGUGGUGUGUACAGGUAACGUCACCUGACUAUCGGUACACAGGUGACAUCACCUAUGCGAUGGUAACGUCACCUGAGGGGACCCCUUAAAGUACUAAAAAAUACACAUUUUGUAUUGGUUUUACAAACGAAAAAUAUCAAAAUGGCCUGCGCUCGCUUUGAUUUAUAAAAAAAAAUGUUUUUAAGUGUGCGGACCUUGCUGGAAAAAGGACGCCCAAUUUUGUGCAAGUUUUAGUCAAAAUGCGCUGAUUUAAGCGGUUUUAAAAUAUUUUAACAUUUUUAACUUCAUAUUGACGGACUUGUUUGAGGGAUUGAAGUGUUGAAAAAAAAAUACGAAAAGGACUUAUUUAAAAAAUAUAUAUAUGACUGAGACCCAUCUGGUUCUCUGGGGCCAAACUUGAGGGGACCCCUAAAAGUACUAAAAAGUACACAUUUUGUAGUGGUUUUAAAAACGAAAAAUACUAAAAUGGCCUGCGCUCACUUUGAUGAAAAUAAAAAUAAAAAAAUUUAAGUGCGCGGCCCUUGCUGGAAAAAGUUAGGACGCCCAAUUUUGUGCAAGUUUUAGUCAAAAUGUACUGAUUUAAGCGGUUUUAAAAACAUUUUCACAUUUUUAACUCCAUGUUGACGGACGUGUUUGAGGGAUUGAAUCGUGAUUUUUUUUUUUUAAAUACAGAAAUUACUUAUUUUAAAAAAAAUGUUUAAAAAUGUAUGGCUGAGACCCAUCUGGUUCUCCGGGGCCAAACUUGAGGGGACCCCUAAAAAUACACAUUUUGUAUUGGUUUUAGAAACCAAAAAUAUCAAAAUAGCCUGCGCUCGCUUUGAUUUAUAAAAAAAAAUGUUUUUAAGUGUGCGGACCUUGCUGGAAAAAGUUAGGACGCCCAAUUUUGUGCAAGUUUUAGUCAAAAUGCGCUGAUUUAAGCGGUUUUAAAAUAUUUUAACAUUUUUAACUUCAUAUUGACGGACUUGUUUGAGGGAUUGAAGUGUUGAAAAAAAAAUACGAAAGGGACUUAUUUAAAAAAAUUACUGAGACCCAUCUGGUUCUCUGGGGCCAAACUUAAGGGGACCCCUAAAAGUACUAAAAAGUACACAUUUUGUAGUGGUUUUAAAAACGAAAAAUACUAAAAUGGCCUGCGCUCGCUUUGAUGAAAAUAAAAAUAAAAAAAUUUAAGUGCGCGGCCCUUGCUGGAAAAAGUUAGGACGCCCAAUUAUGUGCAAGUUUUAGUCAAAAUGUACUGAUUUAAGCGGUUUUAAAAACAUUUUCACAUUUUUAACUCCAUGUUGACGGACGUGUUUGAGGGAUUGAAUCGUGAUUUUUUUUUUUUUAAAUACAGAAAUUACUUAUUUUAAAAAAAAUGUAUAAAAAUGUAUGGCCGAGACCCAUCUGGUUCUCCGGGGCCAAACUUGAGGGGACCUCUAAAAAUACACAUUUUGUAUUGGUUUUAGAAACCAAAAAUAUCAAAAUGGCCUGCGCUUGCUUUGAUUUAAAAAUAAAAAAAUUUAAUUGUGCGGCCCAUGCCGGAAAAAGUUAGGACGCCCAAUUUUUUGCAAGUGUUAGUCAAAAUGGGCUGAUUUAAGCGGUUUUAAAAACAUUUUAACAUUUUUAACUUCAUAUUGACGGAUGUGUUUGAGGGAUUGAAGUGUUGAAAAAAAAAAUACGAAAAGGACUUAUUUAAAAAAAAAAAAAUGACCCAUCUGGUUCUCUGGGGCCAAACUUGAGGGGACCCCUAAAAGUACUAAAAAAUACACAUUUUGUAUAGGUUUUAAAAACGAAAAGUAUCAAAAUGGCCUGCGGUUGCUUUGAUUUAAAAAAAAAAAAUAAUAAUAAUUUAAGUGUGCGGCCCUUGCUGGAAAAGGUUAGGACACCCCGUUUUGUGCAAGUUUUAGUCAAAAUGUGCUGACCUAAGUGGUUUUAAAUACAUUUUAACAUUUUUAACUUCAUAUUGACGGAUUUGUUUGAGAGAUUGAAGUGUUGAAAAAUAAUAGAAAAAGGACUUAUUUUUUAAAAAAAAAUAUGACUGAGACCCAUCUGGUUCUUUGGGGCCAAACUUGAGGGGACCCCUUAAAGUACUAAAAAGUACACAUUUUGUAUUGGUUUUAAAAACGAAAAAUAUCAAAAUGGCCUGCGCUCGAAGGAUUCAAAUAAAAAUAAAAAAUUUUAAGUGUGCGGCCCUUGCUGGAAAAAGUUAGGACACCCCGUUUGUGCAAGUUUUAGUCAAAAUGUGCUGUUGUAAGCGGUUUUAAAAACAUUUUCACAUUUUUAACUUCAUAUUGACGGAUGUGUUUGAGAGAUUGAAGUGUUGAAAAAAAAAAAAUACGAAAAGGACUUAUUUAAAAAAAAAAAUAUGACUGAGACCCAUCUGGUUCUCUGGGGCCAAACUUGAGGGGACCCCUAAAAGUGCUAAAAAGUACACAUUUUGUAUUGGUUUUAAAAACGAAAAAUAUCAAAAUGGCCUGCGCUCGCUUUGAUGAAAAUAAAAAUUUUUAAGUGCGCGACCCUUGUUGGAAAAAGUUAGGACACCCCAUUUUGUGCAAGUUUUAGUCAAAAUGUGCUGUUCUAAGCGGUUUUAAAAACAUUUUCAUAUUUUUAACUUCAUAUUGACGGACUUGUUUGAGAGAUUGAAUUGUAAUUUUUUUUUAAAAUACGAAAAUCACUUAUUUAAAAAAAAAUUAUGAUAGAGACCCAUCUGGUUCCCUGGGGCCAAACUUGAGGGGACCCCAGAAAUACACAUUUUGUAUAGGUUUUAGAAACCAAAAAUAUCAAAAUGGCCUGCGCUUGCUUUGAUUAAAAAAAAAAUAAUAAUAAUAAUUAAAAAAUAAAUUUAAGCGGUUUUGAAAACAUUUUAACAUUUUUAACUUCAUAUUGACGGACUUGUUUGAGAGAUUGAAGUGUUGAAAAAAAAAAAUACGAAAAGGACUUAUUUAAAAAAAAAAAAAAAAUAUGACUGAGACCCAUCUGGUUCUCUGGGGCCAAACUUGAGGGGACCCCUAAAAGUACUAAAAAGUACACAUUUUGUAUUGGUUUUAAAAACAACAAAUAUCAAAAUGGCCUGCGCUUGCUUUGAUGAAAAUAAAAAUAAAAAAAUUUAAAUGCACGGCCUUUUCUGGAAAAAGUUAGCACACCCCGUUUUGUGCAAGUUUUAGUCAAAAUGUGCUGAUCUAAGCGGUUUUAAAAACAUUUUAACAUUUUUAACUUCAUAUUGACGGACGUGUUUGAGGGAUUGAAUUGUGAUUUUUUUUUUUUAAAUACGGAAAUUACUUAUUUAAAAAAAAAUGUAUGACUGAGACCCAUCUGGUUCUCCGGGGCCAAACUUGAGGGGACCCCUAAAAAUACACAUUUUUGUAUUGGUUUUGGAAACCAAAAAUAUCAAAAUGGCCUGCGCUUGCUUUGAUUUAAAAAAAAAUAUAUAUAUAAAAUAAAAUUUAAUUUAAUUGUGCGGCCCUUGCCGGAAAAAGUUAGGACACCCCAUUUUGUGCAAGUUUUAGUCAAAAUGUGCUGAUCUAAGCGGUUUUAAAAACAUUUUAACAUUUUUUUACUUCAUAUUGACGGACAUGUUUGAGAGGUGAAGUGUUGGGAAAAAAAAAAUACGAAAGGGACUUACUUAAAAAAAUGACUGAGACCCAUCUGGU